rnacentral:rRNA from 1 species
UACGUAGGCAGCGAGCGUUGUUCGGAGUCACUGGGCGUAAAGGGUGCGCAGGCGGCCGUGUGUGUGAGGCGUGAAAGCCCGGGGCUCAACCCCGGAAUUGCACCUCAAACUACAUGGCUAGAGCAUUGGAGAGGGUAGCGGAAUUCACGGUGUAGCAGUGAAAUGCGUAGAUAUCGUGAGGAACACCAGAGGCGAAGGCGGCUACCUGGACAAUUGCUGACGCUCAGGCACGAAAGCUUGGGGAGCAAAAGGG